ACCCCGCUCCUUUUGAGCCAUUGUGCUUAACUGAAUUUUAUAAAGCUGAUCGAUAUCUUGGUAAAAUAUUCAUUUUUAAACUAGCGGGCAGCGAAAUCUUUGCUUUGUGCUAAAGUCAACAAGUCGCCCGGUUCCAGCUCCAAUAAAUGCCGGGAUGCUCCCGGGCUCCCGCAGAGCCGGGCUGGCUGCCGGGGCGCAGGGGGAAAUGAGAGUUUCGGCUGUGAGGGCAUCCCUUCCGGGGCUGUCUCGCUCUGACCGCCAUCUCCGGGCACGGACACGAGUGGCAUCGCCCACGCAGGCAAGGACCGGGGUGACAGUCCCCGGGAUGCGGAGGGGAAACCCGGGGAGGAAACAUGGAAACAUGCCCCCCUGGGUACUUGUGCUUGCUCUGGCCACAAGCUCGGAGCGGGGUGUCCAAGCCCGGGCAAGAGGGGACAGGAGCGGAGUUGUGCGUGUGUCCCCGUCCCCGAGUUGCUGUGGCACGUUCAGUAUCCCCGGCAAAGAGGGGAAGGCUCAGGGCGGUUAUUGUGCUCUCAAUAAUUAAUAACAACCCCCCGCCCCGCUCAUAAUGCAGCUCGGAGAGUUCUCCAAUUACUUCUCAUUAAACGCCCGUCGCCCGCGAGUGGGGCGCAGCAUCCCGCAGCAUCCCUCCUUGGGGGUCUCGCGCUGUUCUCGGCCACAAAAAUUCGGGACAGACCGGUUCAGCCCCUUGUCCCUGACCAUCUAUGUCCCCCGCUCCCGGCAUUCGCAGGGACCGGUGCACCGGGAGCGGAGGACACGGGACAUGUCAUUUCUGACCAUGAUCCUUGAUAUUUUUUAUCCCUAUUCCUGCAUCUGAGCAUCCCCAGCUUCCCCAACCCCCCCUGUCCCACCCCCGCCCCCCAGUCGAGUUCUCUCUGUUCCGUUCCGGCCGUUAAUUCCCCCCAAUACAGCUUUAUUUUUCGAAGUGGGGGAUACACCGAGUGGCAUCCUGUGUCGCCGUCUGGCUUUUGUGAAGUGUAGGCAGAGGAGAUGACGACCUGAGCCCCCAAAUCAGCCCGAUCCAGCCGGUUUUAAUUAUAGUUAUAUUAUUUUCCCCCUAACUUCUCAUCCGCAGGGAGCAAAAGGCACUUUUGUUUGUUUGUUGUUUGGGGUUUUUUUUUAAUUGUUCGGGCGCCUAAUAACAUGCAACAAUGGCUCAAAAGCCGUCAAACCCCCAAGGAGAUGGGCAAGUUUUUGGGCACCCGACGCCCCCUCCCCUCUCCCCAGUCUUAUUCCCCUCUCUUGGGGAUCGGCCGUGCAGGCAGCAAUCGGGCCCUGCCUGCCCUGCCUGCGCCCGCCGGCAGCAUCGCGGGGGAAAAAAGCGCAUUCAUUGAUGAUCUUAAACAACAACAACAACAACAACAACAAAACCAAUAAAAAACAACCCAAAACCAAAACACCAACUAACAACAAACCGGACAGCUCGGGGGUGAGAUGAGUCUAAUUAUUGCUGGUUCUAAAAAGAGCUGGAACACCCAAGUAGGGCUUAACUCGUCUCCUGGGAAACUGAUGGAGACCUAUUUUACAAGCUGUAAUUCUGCUUUAGACUAUUGCAGGCUAAAGGCAGUUGACACUAUCCUCUUUCUUCUAGAAAUAGUCCUAAUCCUGUAUUUCGGCCCGGUAAAGUCCACUUUCUGCUCCGCACUUAGAUUAAUCCCGAAACCACAUAAAACCAGGUAGGGAAGAGGAUGGAAAAGGAGAGGAGCGGGGGAGAAGAUACGUAUAUAUGUAUGUUUGUGUGUAUAUAUAUAUAUAUAUAUAUAUAAAUAAAUAUAAAAUUAAUUCAAAGUUUGUCACCUCUGCCCUGCCCAACCUUUAAAAGAGGCAAUAUUAAAGGGUGAUGCGGAGUUUGGCGGCUACUUAUUUAAGGGACAACCUCGUCACCAGCCGAGCUAAAUUUGGGGCUUUGGAACAGGCAGGGACGGGGAGGAGAGUCCGGGAUUAUUUUGUCUCUCCGGUAGUUUUUCAGGCUCUCACGACGGCGAGCGAAACAUUUAUCCUUUGCCGACGGAGCCGGGUGGCAGGAAGCUGCCGGGAGAGAGGUGAAUUUGGUAGGGAGUUAUUUUUAUGGGGAAAAACAUAAAGCAAAAUAAAAAUAAAAUAAUAAUAAUAACAAUAAUAAUUAAACAAACACAACAAAGGGAAAAAAAGGGGGGGAAAAGGGAAAAAAAGAAAAAGAAAAAACGGGAAAAAAGGAAAAAAACCCAAACCCAAGCCCUGCCGGGCACUGUAAUAACGGUUUUUUUUUUUGGUUGGUUGGUUGUUUUUUCUUCUCCACAAUUAUUCUUUGAGGAACAUUUGUGUCCCCGAGGAGGUCGCGCUGUUUCAGAGGCACAGGGUCUGUGGGGCAUCCCUAUAAACAAGGCGUUUUUUUGAGGGCUUAUUUGAGGUCGGAGGGGCUUGACCCGCCGUCCUGCCGUGUAGCUGAGCAGGACGGGCACGGGGGACACGGCUGUGGCCCACCCCGCCAGGGCUGGGCACGGGGGUGAUGCCCGGGAAGAGCCGGGGUGUGAACAUCGGGCCCUGGAGCACGGGAAAAGGCGCAGGGAGGCCGGGAUGUUGUUUUGGGUGGGUGAGAGAUGGAGAGAUGGAGGGAUGGAUCAAUGGAGGGGGUGAUGGAGAGAUGGAGGGAUGGAGAAACGGAUGCAGGGAUCGAUGGAGGGAUGGAUGCAGGGAUCGAUGUAGAGAUUGGUGGACGGAUGGAUAGAUGGACAGAGGAAGAGAUGGAUGAAUGGAUGGAUGGAUGGGUGGAUGGAUGGAAGGAAGGAUGGAGGGACGGACAGCGGUUUGUUGAGCCACCACUGCCCGCCGGGCCCUGCCCCCCGGCCGUGAGGAGAGCAGAGGCACAGGCAGCGCUAACGAAAAGGGCCUGCAGCGGCCCGGGAAACCGGAGGGGAGGCUCGGGGCUGGGCUACCGGCGGGGCAGCGGCUCGGGGGGGCAGAGGGGGGGCCGGGGGCGGCGGCACCGCCGUCCCGUUAUGUUUGCAGGUGCAGCCGGGUGUGAAAUUGCAUGUAGGGGAAAAAAAAAAAAGAAAGAAGAAGAAGAAGAAGCAGCUUUUAAAAACGCAAAUGAGGCCGAGGCGGCUCCUCGGGGGAGCGUGUGUGUGGGGGGGUGUCUCCCACCCCUCCCCAAAGGGGGGUUUCGUUUGCACAGGCGUGUGCGGGGCCGUGGAAGAGCUGGUGCGGGAUGGGGGGCAGCGGCAGCCUUCGCCCCUCCUGGCCACGGCUCCAUGCCUUCCCUCUUCUGUUCCUCUUCUUUUAUUUCCUGUCUUCCCUUUCCUUUUAUUUCUUCCUUUCUUUCCCUUUCUUUCCUCUUUUUAAAUUUUUUCCAGUUUAUUUCUUUUUCCCUUUCCCUUUUCCUUCUUUUCCCUUUUCUUUAAUUAUUUUCUUUAAUUUUCUUUUAAUUUAUUUCCCGUUUUUCUCUGUUUCUUUCCCUUUCCUUUUUACCCUCUUUCCUUUUUACCCCUCCAUUCUUUCUCUGCCUCCCUUUCUUUCAUUUUUUUUUUCAUUUUCCCCCUUUCUUUUCCCCCCCAUUCUUUCCCUUUUUCUCUUUUCCCUUUCCCUUUCCUCCUUUUCUUUUACUUUUUCUUAUUCUUUCCCUUUCCCCCCCUUUAUUUCCUUUUGUCCCUUUUCACCCCAUUCUUUCCCCUUUUUCAAUUUUCUUUAAUUUUCUCCUCUUUCUUUCCUUUUACCCAUUGCUCCCUUUCCCCCAUUCUUUCUUUUUUUUUCGUAUUUUUUGGCCUUUUCCAGUUUCUUUCCCUUUCACCCCAUUCUUUUUUUUUUUUUUUUCCAGUUGCUUUUUCUUUCUCCUCUUGAUUUCCAUUUUUCCACUUUCUUUCACUUCCCCCCUUUCAUCUUUUUUCCUUUUCUUUCCACGCCCUCCUUUUUAUUUUCCCUUUUUCUUUCCCAGUUUUCCCUUUCUUUCUCUUCCCCCCGAGACUCCCAUAGCUCACCUCCUCUCAGCCCCCAUUCCUCCCUCUCCACCCUCCCCACUUCCUCCAGAGCUCCUUUCCAGGGCAGAGGGGCUGUUUCCCCAGGGGAAGCACAGAGCAGCUGGGGGAGGCUGUGGAUAGCCCCGCUGCCACGGGCAUGGGCACCGGGUGAGGACACAGCAGCAGGACACUCCUGCUGCUCCUCACCUGCCAGUGGCUGGGUUUUUUAUAAACUACGGGGGCUUUCUACAGGUUUUUGAUUCCCACAAGCAGUAAAAAGAACAAAUCUCAUCUCUCCACGGCUGGAAAACAGCUGCCGGGCGCCCACAGCAGGGAGGGGUGUAAAUUUGCUGAUUUUACUUCCUCCCCGUCCCCCGGUGCCAAAGGCGUCAUUGCCGGAGGAUUUUGGAGACCUUGAAAUGCUGCCUGCCCUCGACAGCAAAGCUGCCUGCACUUGCCCUUCCCUUCGCCCACCUUUAUUUAUUUUAAUAAUGGCACAAGGAAUAGGCGCUGGAGGGAGUGGGGGACAAUUCGGGGGCUGUGUACUGCUGCCAUGGAUGUGUUCCCAAUAAAGCCACAGGUCCCCA